rnacentral:rRNA from 1 species
UACGUAGGGCGCAAGCGUUGUCCGGAAUUAUUGGGCGUAAAGAGCUCGUAGGUGGCUUGUCGCGUCUGCCGUGAAAGCCCGCGGCUUAACUGCGGGUCUGCGGUGGAUACGGGCAGGCUAGAGGCUGGUAGGGGCAAGCGGAAUUCCUGGUGUAGCGGUGAAAUGCGCAGAUAUCAGGAGGAACACCGGUGGCGAAGGCGGCUUCCUGGACCGACACUGACGCUGAGGCGCGAAAGCUAGGGGAGCAAACGGG